rnacentral:rRNA from 1 species
GAUGAACGCUGGCGGCGUGCCUAAUACAUGCAAGUCGUGCGAACGGACGCGAAGCUUGCUUCUCUGAUGUUAGCGGCGGACGGGUGAGUAACACGUGGAUCACCUACCUUUAAGACUGGGAUAACUUCGUGAAACCGGAGCUAGUACCGGAUAAUAUUUUCAACCGCAUGGUUCAAAAGUGCAAGACGUUCUUGCUGUCCCUUAUAGCUGUAUCCUCGCUGCAUUAGCUAGUUUGUAAGGUAACGGCUUACCAAGGCAACGAUGCAUAGCCGACCUGAGAGGGUGAGGGGGCAAACUGGAACUGAGAGGCGGUACAGACACCGAGGGGAGGAAGAAGUAGGGAAGCUAGGGAAAUGGGGGAAAGCUUGAAGGAGCAACGCCGCGGGAGUGAGGAAGGGCUGAGGAUGGGAAAACUGUGUUAUGAGGGAAGAACAUAUGUGGAAGUAACGGUGCAUAUCGUGACGGUACCUAAUGAAAAAGCAACGGCUAACUACGUG